rnacentral:rRNA from 1 species
AGGCGACGACGGGUAGCCAGCCUGAGAGGGUGACCGGCCACACUGGGACUGAGACACGGCCCAGACUCCUACGGGAGGCAGCAGUGGGGAAUCUUACGCAAUGGGCGAAAGCCUGACGCAGCAACGCCGAGUGGGGGAUGACGGCCUUCCGGUUGUAAACCUCAUUCGACAGGGACGAAUCCUUCGGGUGACGGUACCUGUAGAAGAAGCACCGGCUAACUACGUGCCAGCAGCCGCGG